rnacentral:lncRNA from 1 species
CGUUGAAAGCAGCAGAACAAAAAAGCACUGCUACUACCACGAAGGAAGCUGGGCCACAUGCCUUUGAAGAAGGCUUGCACACCUCAUCUUUAAGUCUCUCCCUAAGAAUGGAUAGUACGUCCAUGAUCCCAUGAAGAUAAGAGACAGGUACUUUCAUAGCUGGGAUGACAGUACCAACUGCUACUAAGAGGAGGAUGAGACACUUAGACCACUGUGACAAAGCACAAGCUCUUCAGGCAAAUGUAAGCCGCAGGACCAGGAAGCUAGAAACUACAGACUGAAGUGCCUUCUGCACCCUCCUUUCCAGCAUUCAGUUCACACGCAGAGUGGCUGGCAGGUGAUGUGUGCAGUGUGCAGAAAGGCAGGUAGGGCCAGGACAUAAGUGGGCCAGACUUGCCAGUCUGCUACUGCCUGGCCUACAGCCAGGCAGGGCUGGGCAGGAGCCAUCAGG